rnacentral:rRNA from 1 species
AGUGAACGCUGGCGGUAGGCCUAACACAUGCAAGUCGAACGGCAGCACAGUAAGAGCUUGCUCUUACGGGUGGCGAGUGGCGGACGGGUGAGGAAUACAUCGGAAUCUACUUUUUCGUGGGGGAUAACGUAGGGAAACUUACGCUAGUACCGCAUACGACCUACGGGUGAAAGCAGGGGAUCUUCGGACCUUGCGCGAUUGAAUGAGCCGAUGUCGGAUUAGCUAGUUGGCGGGGUAAAGGCCCACCAAGGCGACGAUCCGUAGCUGGUCCGAGAGGAUGAUCAGCCACACUGGAACUGAGACACGGUCCAGACUCCUACGGGAGGCAGCAGUGGGGAAUAUUGGACAAUGGGCGCAAGCCUGAUCCAGCCAUACCGCGUGGGUGAAGAAGGCCUUCGGGUUGUAAAGCCCUUUUGUUGGGAAAGAAAAGCAGCAGGUUAAUACCCCGCUGUUCUGACGGUACCCAAAGAAUAAGCACCGGCUAACUUCGUG